ACUCCUACGGGAGGCAGCAGUGGGGAAUUUUGGACAAUGGGGGAAACCCUGAUCCAGCAAUGCCGCGUGAGUGAAGAAGGCCUUCGGGUUGUAAAGCUCUUUUGUCAGGGAAGAAACACCGGCUCUAACACAGUCCGGGAAUGACGGUACCUGAAGAAUAAGCACCGGCUAACUACCUGCCAGCAGCCGCGGUAAUACGGAGGGUGCAAGCGU
rnacentral:rRNA from 1 species